GCAUAAUCAUUAGUCUUCUAAUUAAAGGCUGGUAUGAAUGGCUGGACGAAGUAUUAACUAUCUCAAUAAAAUUAAAUUUAAAUUUAACUUUUUAGUCAAAAGGCUAAAAUUCAAUUAAAGGACGAGAAGACCCUAUAGAGCUUUAUACAUAAAUUUUAUUUUAUAUUUACAUAAUUAUUAGAAUAAAAAGAAGUAUUUAGUUGGGGCGACUGGGAGACUUACUUAACUCUCUUUAAUUUUAACCAUUAAUUUAUGAUUAAUUGAUCCGUCUAACGAUUAAAAGACUAAGUUACCUUAGGGAUAACAGCGUAAUCUUUUUAAAGAGUUCUUAUCGAUAAAAAGGUUUGCGACCUCGAUGUUGGAUUAAGAUAAAAUUUGGGUGCAGAAGCUUAAAUUUUAGGUCUGUUCGACCUUUUAUUUCUUACAU
rnacentral:rRNA from 1 species